CGUCUCAUGGUAAAAAACAUAUGAGAUACCGCCUGCCCAGUGAACCAAACGUUUAAACGGCCGCGUUAGCGUGAGCGUGCUAAGGUAGCGUAAUAACCAGCCCUCUAAUUAAAGGCCAGUGAAAGGCGACACGUGGGAACACCUAUAUCUAAUGUGCUAAAAGAAACUUACCUCUGAGUGAAAAGGCUCAGCUAAUGAAAAAAGACGAAAAGACCCCGCGGAGCUUUACUCAAACACCAUAACCCAUACAAAGUUUACCGCCAAGAGUUUGGUUGGGGCAACCUUGGAACAAACUCAUCUUCCAAUCCAUCUACCUUAAACUAUAAAAAACCUACUAAGGACCAAAAAGAAGCUACCCCGGGGAUAACAGCGUAAUCCAACUUAAAAGGACAUAUCGAAAGUUGGGUUUGCGACCUCGAUGUUGGCUUAGGGUAAUCCACAUGGUGCAGAAGCUAUGAAAGGACAGUCUGUUCGACUAUUACAACCCU
rnacentral:rRNA from 1 species